rnacentral:lncRNA from 1 species
GCCCCACCUUCCUCGGUUUUCUCUCUCACUCUCUCUUUCUCUCGGCGCUCUCUAUCUCUCUCUCAGUCUCAUGCAGUCGAGGAGGAGCGGCGGCUAGGAGAAGCGGCAGCGGUGUGUGGAGGAGCAUCCUUUGGCCCUGACACCGGAUCCGGCCUUCGUCGCCCCCCUCCCCCCACCGCAGGCGCCGAUCGAGGAGCAUUGGCGAUUUUUUUGUGAUUUCUUUUUCCAAUUUUUUACUGUUGUAAUCCUUGAUGCUUGAUUUGCGGUGAGGGAUUCCAUAUGUUAUUUGGGAUUUGUUGAUUCGGGGCAUGAGUGGAAUGUGCGGGUCAGGGGCCUACUUUUUUUUUAAAUCAUGAAAAUAACAUCAGUGUCGGUCGUGCUGCUUUACCGUUACUGAUGAGUACCGCCAUCACUAACGGGCAGGCCGCCCGCCAGUAAUGGGUACCUCAUCACU